rnacentral:rRNA from 1 species
GACGAACGCUGGCGGCGUGCCUAAUACAUGCAAGUCGAACGCAGUGGGGACGGGUGAGGAACACGUGGGUAACCUCCCAUCAGAGGGGAUAACACUUGGAAACAGGCGCUAAACCGAGACUGAUGGAUGGACCCGCGGUGCAUUAGCCAGGUGGUGAGGUAACGGCUCACCGAGGCGACGAUGCAUAGCGGGUCUGAGAGGGUGACCAGCCACACUGGGACUGAGACACGGUCCAGACUCCUACGGGAGGCAGCAGUGGGGAAUAUUCGACAAUGGACGCAAGUCUGAUCGAGCAACGCCGCGUGAAUGAAGAAGGUUUUCGGAUUGUAAAGCUCUGUUGUUGGGGAAGCGGUAUCUACCCAGGAAGCCCCGGCUAACUACGUGCCAGCAGCCGCGGUAAUAC